AUACGGAGGGUGCAAGCGUUAUCCGGAUUCAUUGGGUUUAAAGGGUACGUAGGCGGAUAGAUAAGUUAGUGGUGAAAUCCCGAAGCUCAACUUCGGAACUGCCAUUAAAACUGUCUAUCUUGAAUUUGGUUGAAGUGGGCGGAAUAUGACAUGUAGCGGUGAAAUGCAUAGAUAUGUCAUGGAACACCAAUAGUGAAGACAGCUCACUAAGCCAAUAUUGACGCUGAGGUACGAAAGCAUGGGUAGCGAACAGGAUUAGAUACCCUAGUAGUCC
rnacentral:rRNA from 1 species